rnacentral:rRNA from 1 species
UACGUAGGGGGCAAGCGUUGUCCGGAUUCAUUGGGCGUAAAGAGCGUGUAGGCGGCCAGGUAGGUCGGUUGUGAAAACUGGAGGCUCAACCUUCAGAGGUCGACCGAAACCAUCUGGCUAGAGUCCGGGAGAGGAGAGUGGAAUUCCUGGUGUAGCGGGUGAAAUGCGCAGAUAUCAGGAAGAACACCCGUGGCGAAAGCGGCUCUCUGGAACGGUACUGACGCUGAGACGCG